rnacentral:rRNA from 1 species
GAUGAACGCUGGCGGCGUGCUUAACACAUGCAAGUCGAACGAAGCACUUUACCACGAUUCCUUCGGGAUGACGGUUUGGUGACUGAGUGGCGGACGGGUGAGUAACGCGUGGGGAACCUGCCCCAUACCGGGGGAUAACAGCCGGAAACGGCUGCUAAUACCGCAUAAGCGCACAGUACCGCAUGGUACGGUGUGAAAAACUCCGGUGGUAUGGGAUGGACCCGCGUCUGAUUAGCCAGUUGGCGGGGUAACGGCCCACCAAAGCGACGAUCAGUAGCCGGCCUGAGAGGGCGACCGGCCACAUUGGGACUGAGACACGGCCCAGACUCCUACGGGAGGCAGCAGUGGGGAAUAUUGCACAAUGGGGGAAACCCUGAUGCAGCGACGCCGCGUGAGUGAGGAAGUAUUUCGGUAUGUAAAGCUCUAUCAGCAGGGAAGAAGAAAUGACGGUAC